AUGCGAGUCAUUGUAGCAAUACAAGGCAUACGGCUCAUUAACGCGUAGUCAACCUAACCUAUGGACGGGGAUAACCUCGGGAAACUGAGAAUAAUACCCGAUAGAACAUUAUACCUGGAAUGGUUUAUGUUUCAAAUAAUUUAUUGCCGUAGGAUGGGACUGCGGCCUAUCAGUUUGUUGGUGAGGUAAUGGCCCACCAAGACUAUUACAGGUACGGGCUCUGAGAGGAGUAGCCCGGAGAUGGGUACUGAGACACGGACCCAGGCCCUAUGGGGCGCAGCAGGCGAGAAAACUUUGCAAUGUGCGAAAGCACGACAAGGUUAAUCCGAGUGGUUUCUGCUAAAGGAACCUUUUGUUAGUCAUAGAACCACUAAUGAAUAAGGGGUGGGCAAGUUCUGGUGUCAGCCGCCGCGGUAAAACCAGCACCUCAAGUGGUCAGGAUGAUUAUUGGGCCUAAAGCAUCCGUAGCCGGCUUUGCCAGUUUUCGGUUAAAUCCAUACGCUUAACGUAUGGGCUGCCGGGAAUACUACAAAGCUAGGGAGUGGGAGAGGUAGACGGUACUCGGUAGGAAGGGGUAAAAUCCUUUGAUCUAUUGAUGACCACCUGUGGCGAAGGCGGUCUACCAGAACACGUCCGACGGUGAGGGAUGAAAGCUGGGGGAGCAAACCGGAUUAGAUACCCGGGUAGUCCCAGCUGUAAACUAUGCAAACUAGGUGAUGCAUUGGCUUGAUGCCAAUGCAGUGCCUCAGGGAAGCCGUUAAGUUUGCCGCCUGGGAAGUACGUACGCAAGUAUGAAACUUAAAGGAAUUGGCGGGGGAGCACCACAAGGGGUGAAGCCUGCGGUUCAAUUGGAGUCAACGCCGGAA
rnacentral:rRNA from 1 species